GGGCCCGCACAAGCGGUGGAGCAUGUGGUUUAAUUCGAUGAUACGCGAGGAACCUUACCAGGGCUUAAAUGUAGUCUGACAGGGGUGGAAACACCCCUCCUUCGGGCAGAUUACAAGGUGCUGCAUGGUUGUCGUCAGCUCGUGCCGUGAGGUGUCAGGUUAAGUCCUAUAACGAGCGCAACCCCUGCCGUUAGUUGCCAGCAUGUAAUGAUGGGAACUCUAACGGGACUGCCGGUGCAAACCGCGAGGAAGGUGGGGAUGACGUCAAAUCAUCACGGCCCUUACGUCCUGGCUACACACGUGCUACAAUGGCCGGUACAGAGGGCAGCCACACCGCAAGGUGAAUAC
rnacentral:rRNA from 1 species